AUCCAAUCCAUAAUUAAUCCU
rnacentral:miRNA from 1 species